GACGAACGCUGGCGGCGUGCUUAACACAUGCAAGUCGAACGGAAAGGCCCCUUUUGGGGUACUCGAGUGGCGAACGGGUGUGUAACACGUCAGUAACCUUCCCUUGACUUCGGGGUAACUUCACGAAACUGGGGCCAAUUCCGGCUAGGAAUCCUUGCUGGAUGGUGGGGGUUGGAAAGCUUCCGCGGUUUUGGAUGGACUGGCGGCGUAUUAGCUUGUUGGUGGGGUAGUGGCUUACCAAGGCUUUGACGGGUAGCUGGACUGAGAGGGCGACCGGCCAUAUUGAGACUGACAGGAGGCACAGGUGCCGACGGGAGGAAGAAGGGGGGAAGAUUGCACAAGGGGCGGCACGCGUAUGCAGAAAGGCCUCGGGCGGGAUAACGGCCUUAGGGUUGAAAAACGCUUUCAGCAGGGGCGCAGCUUGUGGUGACGGUACCUGCAGAAGAAGCACCGGCUAACUACGUG
rnacentral:rRNA from 1 species